CUAACAUUUAGAACAAUAAUAGAAAAUAGAAGUACUUGUCUGGAGGGUCUAGCAGAGGUCCACAGUGACUCUUAUGAGCUGUAUAAAGGACUGUCCCUUCUGGAGUCUAGUAAUCAAAUCUGGAGGAGUAGUCCUCAAAUCUUGUUAGAGAAUGAAGUUCUCAGGGUACACUCUUCCUGGCUAAGCAAUCCCAUCCCAGCCCCUCUCUACUGAAAUCAUUCAUCCUGGUCAAGUGUGUUUCUCAGAAUACCUGGGUAUGUCAACAGAGAUAAAAGAGAAGUGCAGCACACUUCCUAGUUUCAGCUGGCACUAAAACAAGAGAAUGAGUUGUGCGUUUUUUGGUGGAGGUGCCUCCUGAUCGAGUCUACACACUGGCUUGUGAACAUGUUGUCUGUACUGAAGAACUUAUCCCAAAAAGGUGGCUCCACUUACACCAUAGACAAGUACUGUCCUUCCCAUGUCCUUUCAGCAUGAACUGAGAGAGGGGCAGUCUCAAAGUGGCAGGUGUCACAAGAGGUCACUCUCAUAAUCAACAACUGAAGACUUCCCAAAACAGCAACUCCUUGCUUUUGCCCCAGUUUUUCCGAGGCAAAAUUUACAUACCAUCAAGGUCAUCCAUGCAAAUGUUCUAGAGUUGAAAAGAAAGCUCUUUCUACAUCUGCAAGGCUGAUUCAUUUUUCUCCCUUCCAAGAACUCUACUAAAAAAAUUAUUUGUUGCUUAUCUGAAAUGCAAAUGUAACUGGAUGUCCUGUAUUUGUGAAAUUCCGGCAACCCUAAUCCAGGACCAAAGCAGAAUUAACCAAAUAAAUGAAAGUGCAUGUCUAGAAAUAAAUGUACUUUUCUGGAGCAUUGUAAAUAAACAUGAAUUAUUUUCCUAGUUUUGAACCAUUUGAGUUCUAAGAUGGUCAGAACCUAGUUCCAGUUAGAAUACCAGCUGAGAACUAAGCUACAGAGACAGCCUGAAUAAUUCACAACCCAAUUGCUGUUUUACAAGCAAGCCUGGGACCUCAGACACUCAUAGGAUUAUAUGCUACAUUUCCCUUGAAAGGUUAAAGUGGAUGUAAUUGUUAACCUUGCAGCUCACAAUCAGAACUGGAAAUGUGACUUUUAGGGGCACAAAUUAUAGGGAAAUCAUUCUUAACCUUUUUGGGGGGCGGUGUCACAAACUCCUUUGGGAGAAUCUGAUAAAAGCUAUGGACCUUCACCAUAGGAAAAUGCGUGUAUACACAUUCACAACAUUUUCCAGGUAAUUUUCUUUUAGGUGGGAGAGGUUUCACAGAUUCCAUGACAUUGUUCAUGGAAAAUUCAAGGGUGCAAGAGCCUGGGCAAGUUGAUUAAAACCAUCCUGGAUUCUUAUGCCUUGCUUUUCUCUUCCUCCUGUUUGUGUGGGAAGUGAAGAAGUCGGGAUAAUGGCAAGGGAA
rnacentral:lncRNA from 10 species